CCACAUAUGGUUUUGUAUUCCUUUGCAAGGUCGUUUUUGUUGAUGUUCGCUUCGUCUCUCUUUCGCCCACAGCUGCAGACUGUUUUCGUAUUCCAAUUUGAGUAGUCAGCACACUAAUACACACAUUAAGAAUGAAGCUGAUAAGAUAACGGGACUGCGCUCACAGUUGACUCAGCUCAAAGAUUGAGAAUAUGUGUGUAUGACGGAGAUGGCGGAAACUACUAAAGAUCGCAAGAUUUGGCCUCUCUCACCAAUUAGACUGCUGAGCCAAUUGCAGCAGUCAAGCAAGUAGCCGACCAACCAUGUGUCACUCGGUUUCAUUGAACUUUGCGCCUCAAUUUAUGCUCACAUAUGGAAGACAUUUAUACAUCCAAACAGAUGCACAUGUGUGUGUGUGUGUAUUGAUACAAAUUGAGCUGUUCAGCGUUGUACAGGCAAAUUGAUGGGGGCAGGCGAGUUGAGAUGAGACAAUACAAACAAAUGUUUGUGGUCGCAUCAAGUGGAAAUUGGUUGCAUAAACAACUUGAACAAAAGGACAGACAGACGAAGCGACACUUCACAUAGCACUUGCGAGUGAAAGAGAUAGAGAGAAAGACAACAACACUUAAGUGUGUGUGUGUGUGUGGAGUCUUUGCCUUUCGACUUGCAAAUGAAACUCGUUUCUUUGUUGUUGUUGUCUGCACUUUUGCAGCUGCCGCUGGAUGUGAAAUGUUUCUUCUCCUGCUUUAUUCUUGCCUCUCAAAUCUCAAAACGCGACGAACUGAACUGAAAGCGAAAACGAAACGAAAAAAAACGCCGUCGAUCGUUCGCCGCCUGUUGCUCGAAUUGAACUGAAACUGGAAAUCGAGGCGAGUCGCGUCGAGAAGCAACUGUGGCAAGUCAUUCCCUGCCGCAAGCUGUGGCCAUCGAUUCCCGUUCCCACAAACUUGCCCCCAGCCCCCUUGACCUCGCAUAAAACCGGUCGUUGGCCGAAUUUGAGACUGUGGCACGUUGUUUAUGCCACACGAUGAUCAUAGUUAAUGUGUGGCAGCUGUGUCGCGUCUUUUUGCCCUCUGACUGUAGACGGAAAUGCGCGCGUCACGACUUCCGCUGCAUGCCCCAACUGCGGCACAACUUAAAAGCAUAGAUUGGUUGUAAUCAAUGGCCGUGGAGAAUGCCGCAAAUCCCAAGCCGCCAAUGACGCCAGCCUUGAUGCCAGCUCGCAGUCCAAUCAAGCCGCCUGUGAUGCC